rnacentral:lncRNA from 1 species
GCAAAUUUAUUUUAACUGUUAAAUUGAUUAAAACUUUGGCAUGAUUCAUUUUGUCAUAUGUAAGUUAUAUGACCAUGGUUUUAUUUACCAUAAUUUAGACAUAAGAAGAUAGAAAAUAACAUUUAUGUAUGUGCCUGUCCCAAGUUAGGAGCCUGUAAUUCAGUGGUUGUCGUUUGUUUAUGUGUUACUUAUUUUUUUUCGUUCAUUUUUUUUACAUAAAUAAGGCCGUUAGUUUUCUCGUUUGAAUUGUUUUACGUUGUCUUAUUGGGGUAUUUUAUAGCUGACUAUGCAGUAUGGACUUUGCUCAUUGUUGAAGGCCGUACGGUGACCUAUAGUUGUUAAUGUUUGUGUCAUUUUGGUCUUUUGUGGAUAGUUGUCUCAUUGGCAAUCAUACCACAUCUUCUUUUUUUAUGUACGGAGUGUUGAAGGCUGUACGGUUGCCUUUAUAUGAUUCUUACAUCCACUGCAUUUAAACUCUGGCGUCAUAAUCCAUGACCUCCGAACUUGUUCUCCGAAGGUGAUUUUCAUAUGGCAGUUCACUUUUAAUGUAAUUUCUA